CACUGCACUAAGGUAAUGCCAUCACAUUAUUUUAUCUGAUCCUGACACUGUUCUUAUGAGGGUAACCCAUGCAGUUUACCACCACAGAAAAGAAGAAAAAUUUUAAAACAACAAUGUCAACAAAAAGUUGUUAUACUAGGAAAAUACCGUUUGACAAGCUAGAGGGGAAUUAGAUGAGGAAUGAACAUGAAA